rnacentral:rRNA from 1 species
GACGAACGCUGGCGGCGUGCUUAACACAUGCAAGUCGAACGGUAAGGCCCUUCGGGGUACACGAGUGGCGAACGGGUGAGUAACACGUGGGUGAUCUGCCCUGCACUUCGGGAUAAGCCUGGGAAACUGGGUCUAAUACCGGAUAGGACCACUGCCUGCAUGGGUGGUGGUGGAAAGCUUUUGCGGUGUGGGAUGGGCCCGCGGCCUAUCAGCUUGUUGGUGGGGUGAUGGCCUACCAAGGCGACGACGGGUAGCCGGCCUGAGAGGGUGACCGGCCACACUGGGACUGGGAUACGGCCCAGACUCCUACGGGAGGCAGCAGUGGGGAAUAGUGCACAAUGGGCGCAAGCCUGAUGCAGCGACGCCGCGUGGGGGAUGACGGCCUUCGGGUUGUAAACCUCUUUCAGCACCGACGAAGCGCAAGUGACGGUAGGUGCAGAAGAAGGACCGGCCAACUACGUGCCAGCCGCCGCCGUAA